rnacentral:rRNA from 1 species
ACUCCUACGGGAGGCAGCAGUGGGGAAUAUUGCACAAUGGGCGCAAGCCUGAUGCAGCAACGCCGCGUGAGGGACGACGGCCUUCGGGUUGUAAACCUCUUUUAGUAGGGAAGAAGCGAAAGUGACGGUACCUGCAGAAAAAGCACCGGCUAACUACGUGCCAGCAGCCGCGGUAAUACGUAGGGUGCAAGCGUUAUCCGGAAUUAUUGGGCGUAAAGAGCUCGUAGGCGGUUUGUCGCGUCUGCUGUGAAAACUGGAGGCUCAACCUCCAGCCUGCAGUGGGUACGGGCAGACUAGAGUGCGGUAGGGGAGAUUGGAAUUCCUGGUGUAGCGGUGGAAUGCGCAGAUAUCAGGAGGAACACCGAUGGCGAAGGCAGAUCUCUGGGCCGUAACUGACGCUGAGGAGCGAAAGCAUGGGGAGCGAACAGGAUUAGAUACCCUGGUAGUCCAUGCCGUAAACGUUGGGAACUAGAUGUAGGGGCCAUUCCACGGUUUCUGUGUCGCAGCUAACGCAUUAAGUUCCCCGCCUGGGGAGUACGGCCGCAAGGCUAAAACUCAAAGGAAUUGACGGGGGCCCGCACAAGCGGCGGAGCAUGCGGAUUAAUUCGAUGCAACGCGAAGAACCUUACCAAGGCUUGACAUAUACCGGAAAAGUUCAGAAAUGUUCUCCCCGCAAGGUCGGUAUACAGGUGGUGCAUGGUUGUCGUCAGCUCGUGUCGUGAGAUGUUGGGUUAAGUCCCGCAACGAGCGCAACCCUCGUUCUAUGUUGCCAGCACGUAAUGGUGGGAACUCAUAGGAGACUGCCGGGGUCAACUCGGA